rnacentral:snRNA from 1 species
GAGCUCACUUCAGCAGCACAUAUACUAAAACUGGAAUGAUACAGAGAAGAUCAGCAAUGCC